CGAGAGGUUGAGCAGGUGGUGUGCUCAGCGGGCUGUAACCCCGUCGCCUACGGGCAUUGCAGGUUCGAUUCCUGCCCUCUUGACCA
rnacentral:tRNA from 1 species